UUUUGCAUGGAGAAGCAGAACAUGAUGAAGCAUUUUUCCCCUGUUUAAAGAUCCAGCCAUGCUCCAGUUUGCAGGGGGCAGAAGGGCAGGUGUGCAGUUGGUGCUGGGAGGAUGGAGGGUGUAAGCUUCAUAACAUCAAGGACUUUUGCCUGUCUUAUUCAGUGGUGCUUUCCUCAGCCCUUGGAACAGUGGUUGGCAUACAGCAGAGCUUAACAAAUAGUCGAAUGGCUGAGCAAGUCCUCUUUGAGAAGCUGGUAAAUGCAGCGUUACUGGGCAUUAAAAGAGGCCCUGGCAAACGUUCUCAGAGGCUGUGAAGUUUGCUUCACUGAGGGGCAGCUGCAUCCUAGCCCCCGUCCCUCUAAGGUCAGGCUGCAUGAGGACACACAGGGCCUGGAAGCACGCUGGCACCAACCAGAAACAAACGCCAGCAGAUGGGAGAUGUGCCAGGAAAGUUUCUGAAACCUCUUCCCCGGCCCUGAGCUAGGCGCCUGCCCUGGACAGAAGACUGUGGGAGCCCAGAGCAGACCUGAGUCAGGAACUCGGUCACACAUGCAGGUAAAAAACUCUGCUGGGCACCUGAACUGCCUUCUGGCUUCCGGAGAGGUUAGCGGUGAAGAAAGGAGACAGAGCUGACCUUGAGGUCUUUAUGGUCUUGGAGGGAGUUAGUGGAGAAUAUGUGCUUUUCAUUAAAAUUUUAAAAAUCGCGCCUCAAUGCUUGUCACCAAAGUGAAUCCCUGUGCCCUCCCAGAUCCUCUGAGUCAGAAUCUCUCGUGGAGGGGCCUGAGGAUGUACAUUCUGAGCCAGUGUCCCUGCAGCAGAACAGCCUGUAUUGAUCUGGCCUUGACCAACCUUCUGAGUUCGCUGAUUAAGCCCCUGCUGUUGUCUUUUGCAUACAUUUUCUCAUUUAGGCAUCACGUCCUCUCUAAAAAGCUUUGGUGAAGAAAUUGAGGCCUGGAAAGGUUAAAUCACUUGCCAAGCUCCAGAACACACCCACCCGGCCCCACCCCUGUGGUUGCUCAGGACAUCCCUCUCUCCCAGAAUCUCUUCUGCUUCCGACCCACCUCUGAGAAAUUCUUGAUUCUGCAAUAUUUUCUUGUACCCAUACCCAGAACUUCUUGGCUGAAAUCCUUUUCCCCUGCCCCCAUUUUCACGUAACUUCUCUUUACCCUUCACCUUCAAGGAGCCUUCCCUAAUCCCCAAGGUGUGGGCUCUUAUGACCCCCUGCCUUGCCCUUAUUGUAGCCUAACCCUGUAUGCUAAAGGGCUGUUUGUCACCUAACUCAACUUUGGGCAAGGCAAGCAGAGACAUUACUUUGCCAACAAAGGUCCAUCUAGUCAAGGCUAUGGUUUUUCCAGUGGUCAUGUA